rnacentral:rRNA from 1 species
UGAGGAAUAUUGCGCAAUGGACGAAAGUCUGACGCAGCAACGCCGCGUGCGGGAUGAAGGCCUUUCAGGUCGUAAACCGCUGUAGCAGGGAAAAAAUAUCCCGUUAGACGGGAUUGAUGGUACCCUGAAAGUAAGCCUCGGCUAACUACGUGCCAGCAGCCGCGGUAAUACGUAGGAGGCGAGCGUUGUCCGGAUUUACUGGGUGUAAAGGGUCCGCAGGCGGGUAUUUAAGUCGGUGGUGAAAUCCUUCAGCUUAACUGAAGAGCUGCCUCCGAUACUGAAUAUCUUGAAUACGGGAGAGGGUGACGGAAUUCCAGGUGUAGCGGUGAAAUGCUUAGAUAUCUGGAAGAACACCGGUUGCGAAGGCUGUUGCCUGGCCCGUUAUUGACGCUCAUGGACGAAAGCGUGGGGAUCAAACAGG